rnacentral:rRNA from 1 species
AUUGAACGCUGGCGGCAGGCUUAACACAUGCAAGUCGAACGGUAACAGGGAGAAACUUGUUUCUCUGCUGACGAGUGGCGGACGGGUGAGUAAUGCUUGGGAAUCUGCCUUAUGGAGGGGGAUAACCACUGGAAACGGUGGCUAAUACCGCGUAAUAUCUUCGGAUUAAAGUGUGGGACUUUCGAGCCACACGCCAUAAGAUGAGCCCAAGUGAGAUUAGGUUGUUGGUGAGGUAAUGGCUCACCAAGCUUACGAUCUCUAGCUGGUUUGAGAGGAUGACCAGCCACACUGGGACUGAGACACGGCCCAGACUCCUACGGGAGGCAGCAGUGGGGAAUAUUGCACAAUGGGCGCAAGCCUGAUGCAGCCAUGCCGCGUGAAUGAAGAAGGCCUUCGGGUUGUAAAGUUCUUUCGGUGGUGAGGAAGGUUGUAAUGUUAAUAGCAUUAUAAUUUGACGUUAGCCACAGAAGAAGCACCGGCUAACUCCGUGCCAGCAGCCGCGGUAAUACGGAGGGUGCGAGCGUUAAUCGGAAUAACUGGGCGUAAAGGGCACGCAGGCGGAUACUUAAGUGAGGUGUGAAAGCCCUGGGCUUAACCUAGGAAUUGCAUUUCAUACUGGGUAUCUAGAGUAUUUUAGGGAGGGGUAGAAUUCCACGUGUAGCGGUGAAAUGCGUAGAGAUGUGGAGGAAUACCGAAGGCGAAGGCAGCCCUUUGGGGGAAUACUGACGCUCAUGUGCGAAAGCGUGGGGAGCAAACAGG